CCCCAACGCUUCCACCCCAGAACCACCACCUCCUUCUUGCCUUCCUCCUCUCUCUACUCUCACUCCAAACCCCUCCUCCACCUCUCCAAAAUCUCCUGCCCCCACCGGCACCCAACCCAUUUUCCAGCUCGGCCAUGACCGCCUCUCCAAGGUCCCCAUUCCCACAUCAGAAACUUCUGCAUCAUCGCCCACAUCGACCAUGGCAAGUCGACUUUGGCCGAUAAGCUACUCGAAACCACCGGUACUGUGCAGAAGCGCGAGUUAUAUUGUUACCCCAUUUCCUUCUUUGACAUGAAUCAACCAACCCCUUUCAUUUGUAGUUUGUGCGAGAUGUUAGACUACGCUCUCGCUGAGGUCACGAAUCAAGUAGCCGCGAUCAGGGUUUAGAUGCAAAUUUAGACGGGGUAUUUGAGUGGUUUCUCAAAGGGAGGAAUAGAACCUGCCAUCGCUUACACUCCAUGACAGUAGAGGUGCUGGAGUCGAAAUCUGCCUGAUCUGCACUGGCCCUGUAGAGCUCUAGUUUAUUUGCCAGAUGCGAUCAUGUGACUUACUUCUUUUCUGUUCGGCCCCAUUUUUCUUGUAAGGUUUAAUUUCAAUAACACAAAACAAGGGGUUAUAGGGUUAGUCCAACUCAAAACUCCUCCAACACCAACAUUGUCUUUUUUUCUUAUACAGAUGCUGAAUUUCUUGAACUUUUUGCAUUGCGCAACUCGCUUGUCGACCAGUGCAUAAAACACCGCAUUUGCAAGCAUUUACAUUGCGGACUUCGCACUUAAGUAGUUUCUCUCUCUUUUUUUUUUUUUUUAUCAUCUAAAGGAGGGGAUUUGAACUUAAGAUCUCGCCUAAUUAAAGAGUUCGUUGGUCACACAAUCAGUUUAUAUAUCAAUAUUUGUAUUUUUCCUUUGUUGUAUAAUGAGUUGAGCUAUUCUAGGUUAUGCUAUAUAUAUGUACAACUUCAAAUAUUUAUUUGGAAAACUUCAAUUGUACGAGAUAAAUUUUAUUAAAUUUGAAACAAGAAGUUAUAUUUAGUCAGUGAUACAUAAAAUUUACACCUAAUAAUACAAGAAAAAAAGUAAGGUGAAAAAUACAAGAAAAGAGGGGAGACAUAAACUUACCCCUUUUAAGCAAACAAAUAAAAAUGCUAAAAAAGAGGGGGAUGUAAAGUCUAAGACCCUCUAUAAAAAUAUCUAGAAGGUCUAGACCAGCAAAACAAGUUGCAAAACAUCAAGUAAUAUGUUACCAAAAAAAAAAACAAACACACACACACAUCAUAAAAGAGGAAAAACAAGUUGCAAAGCACCAAAAGCAAUACGUACAACAAUAAUAUUUGGAUAGUUUGUUCCACUUAUAGAUGCCUAGAGACUAAAGUUAAAAAUCACACAUUUGCUUUAUAAUUAUAUGACAAAAUUGGAUCACUAAUUUCUAAACUUUAGUCGAACUUGAGCUUUAGUUCUUGAACUAAAAAUCCAUGAGUAUUGAAUAUGAAGAGAGGAUCAUCGCCAAAUCCCCUUUGUGGGGAUCCCGAAGAUCCUCAAAUUACAUUCGUUCAUUGUACAUCGUGCGGUCAGAAAUCAUUGUAAUUUUUUUUUAUCUAAAAUUGAAUAUAAACAGUACCUGAUUUAAACUGGCCGCAUGAUGUACGAUAAACAGAUGUGAUUGAAGAAUUUCAGAAUCAUCACAAAGAGAAUCCUGCGAGGAUCCUCUCUUUUGAAUAUGGACGGAUGCAAAACAUUGCAGCAGUAGUAUGUGCUGAUGGUAAAAAAGCAGUUGGAUAUAUACAUUUACUGUUCAAAAAGUGAUUAAGCACUAUACACUUAUUAGCCAAACCAUAUACAUAAUAUACAAUGAAGGUUAGAUGAUUUCUGAUCACAAUACAGUGUGAAAUUUUGACUGCAAACCGGCGAAGUAGGAAACAAGCAGCAUCAUUUUUUCUUCUUCUGAUAAGAUAGAAUUAAUGCAGCUGCAGGAACCUUUGACUGUUUUAUUUCUCUUUUUUUUGGGCCAUCUGAAGCCUUGACUUUGAAAAUGCGAAUUGCAAAGAAGUGUUUGCAAUACGAAAGAAGUUUAUAGCUUUUAGUCCUGAACCAAUCAGGAUACAAAUAUGGGGUCUUCCUGAAUGGAUUGACCUAUGACUGAUUUACUCAGGCCCUUUUCCACUGACUUCUUCCUUCAUUUGGAGAAGCCAUCAGGAAUGGAACCAGUGGAAAGUUGUAUGUAGAAAAGAAGUGCAAAAUAAGCAAACACGAAGACUUUGGAAGUGAAAGAUGCACCGAUUCACGCUCUUCCAGCCCAGCUGCUGUUUAUAGAGCUCAGUAAUAUUUCACGGAAUUUCUCUUUUGAAUUAUCAAACUCUUAGUUUGCAAUGCCGUGACAUGAGGAAAUUUUGCAUGUGCUGCAUAUGAGACAACAGUUGAAAGAAGUAGAUUUCUAGCUCACCCAAUUAAUACGUCCCCUCGAAUUAAACCGAACCCUAACUAACAACUACUAAAAGCUAAAAUGUACAUCUUUUGAGCCAAUUAUUGAGCUAGGGUUUUUUUUUAACUUUAAUUCUUUAAGAAGAUUGAAAUUUAAAAUAAACCUAAUGUUAGAUUACAUAUUGAUUAUAAUCCCUUGAUAUGUCCUUAAUCAAAAUAAUUAAUGUGCAUUUUAUUUAAUCUCCCAUUAAAUAUUUAAAUUUAUUAAUAUACAAAUUUUAAUUUAUUUUUUACCAAAAAAAGUUUUUUAAUUUAUUAAUUUUAUUCAACAUUUUUCAAACUUAAAAGACUCAAUUAAUGUACCUAAAUAUGUGGACCGAAAUGGAUUAUAUUGAACUAAUGUAUUUAAAUGUUAGUACCGAAAUAUAUGCACCGAAAUGUAUUAUAUUAAAUUAAUGUACCUAAAUAUGUAUACCGAAAUAUAUACACCGAAAUGUAUUAUAUUGAAUUAAUGUACCUAAAUAUUUGUAUCGAAAUAUUUUUACCUAAAUGUGUGUACCUAAAUGUAUGCACCGAAAUGUAUUAUAAUGAAUUUAAUGUACCUAAAUGAAGAAGACAAAGUACAUCAAAAUAUAUUGUAUAAUAAAAAUUAAUUUAUCUAAUUGUUUACAACAAAAUAUAUUACGAUAAAUGAAAUGAAAGUGAAAAUUAUAAGGAAAACUAAUGAAAAGGGCUUGAAAACUUUGAGUUUUAAUGAUAAGGACAAAAUAAAGGGUAAAGUGAAUAGUACCAGGAUUGACUUUUUAGUGUAAAAAUGUGGUUUUUCGUUAAAGCGAACAGUACCAGGUGUUUUUCGUUAAAGUUCCCAAAAUUAUAAUGAAAUAAAAUUAAUACAUUAAAAAUUAGGAAGAAAAAAAAGAAAUAAUUAAAAAAUCAAAAUAUAAUUAAUAAAUGAGGUUAUUAAUGUCUCAAGGAACUGAAAUUAGAUUUUGAAAAAAUUAGAUUUUGAUCUUACUCAUAGUUUUAAUCUAAAGAGUUCUUUAGAGAAAGACCCUUGAAACUUCUAUUUUUCAAACAAAAGCCCAACUAAUAUUAAACAUUCAAAUAAAACCCGAAUUUCGCAUAGACUUCCAUGUAGAUAAAUACAUAACCAAUUAUUACAACAUAUUUACAACUUAUGCCACAUAACCCUAAUUAUGUUAAUAAAUAUUAUUACUCAUCCUAAUUAUGGUUAGCAAUUAACCCCAUAUGGACAUUUUACCCUUUUUGUUUUAUAAAUAUUAUUAACAUAUAUAUAUAUAUAUAUUAAUUUACCCAUAUUCAUAAACAAUUAUAGGCACAUUUUUCGUAUGAAAAAAAAGAUCCUUUGUAUAAUCAGUUAUUUUGCAUCAAAUAAUAUUGUUUGAUAAAAAAAACAAGAAUCAAUUGAUAUUCUUUUAUUUUUUAGGUAAAUGAUUUUAAACAUAUUAUUUUGUAGGUAAAUUAUUUUACACAUAUUAUUGCAUACAUUAGCCAUUUUGAUUUGUUAUUAUAUAUGUGUGUCAGUUGACCCACUGGGAAGUUGCUCGUGAGUUUCCAGAAACAAAACUGUGAGGGCAUGAUCGGGGCCCAAAGUGGACAAUAUCGUGCUACGGUGGUGGAGCGGGCCCGGGAAGUGGUCCGCCCCGGGCCGGGAUGUGACAAAAAUAAUUAUCUAUUUUUAUAUGUAAAGUAUAAGUAAAUUAAUUUUUUUAUAAAGAAUUAAACAAUAGGUAAAUUAUAAGUACAUUAUUUACUUAUAAGAAUUGAACAAUAGGUUAAUUUACCUAUUGUAGGUACAUUAUGUUUCUAAAAAAAAGGAAAAUUGAAAUUCAUAAACAAAAAGUAGUAGAUAUAUUAUCUUUUCAAUCAAAUUACAUUCCUUUAUUUUGUAGGUAAAUUUUUUUUAAAGCAUUAUUACAUAUACCAAGCACAUUUUACUACUAAUAUAUAUCAGUUUUAGUAGGAAUUAUAUAUUGUAGGUACAUUAUGUUUGUACAAAGAAAAAACAAUAGGUAAAUUAAAAUUCAUAAACAAAAAGUAGUAGAUAUAUUAUUUUUUUAAUCAACUUACAUACCUUUAUUUUGUAGGUAAAUAAUUUUACAUGCAUUGUUACAUAUAUUGGGCACAUUUUAUUAAUAUAUAUGUGCAAUUAUAUUUUAUUAUAUCAAAUGUAGCUAAAUUAAUAUUGAAUCAAAUAACAUUUUUUUAUUUUGUAGGUAAAUUAUUUUUCAUGUAUUAUUACAUAUACUGCGAAUAUUUUAUUACUAACACAUAUGUCCAAAUAAUUUACCUAUGUUUUUAUGUAAAUUACUCCAUAGUUCCUUUUCGGUUUCCAUUUGGUAAGAAAAUGGCAAGAUUAAAUCAAAAUUGUCUAAUUUUAUGCAAAUGUGGAAAACAAUUACAAAAUGUAAAGGAAAGUAUAACAUUAAUAUUUAUUUAUUUAUUUUUGCCAGAAGCAUGAACAUUCAAGUAAAAAGACUAUGUUGGGUUUUAUGUAAAGAAACUUGAGUUUCAAGGGCUAAAAUCAUAUUUUCAGUAAUCUAAAAAUCAUCUUUGCUAAGAAUUAAAAUGAAGUUUCCCAUUGAGCUAGCCACAUACCUUACACAAAUGCUUAAAAACACCAAUGAAAACUUAAACAUGCAGUGUAUAUUUUCACCCACCAAGGCAAUGAACUUCCUCUCCCCAAAACUUCUUCCUUCAUCAUCUAAAUCUUCUCUCGAACUUAUAACGAUCGCCAUAGUCUUGUAUGCUGCUGCUGUAGAGCUAGCGAACAACGAAACGAUUCCGGCAGUGAUUGUUUUUGGAGAUUCAAUAGUGGAUCCGGGAAACAACAACAAUAUUGGCACGAUAGUCAAAUGCAAUUUCCCACCUUAUGGAAGGGACUUUGUAAGAAAAAGGCCUACCGGAAGGUUUAGCAAUGGCAGAGUCCCCUCAGACUGAAUAGGUAAUAUAACUAUUGUCGUUGUUGUUUCUUACUUUUUACUGGCUCUACUGGCUCAACCAACAACAACAACAACCAGCCGUAUCCCACUAAUGGGGUCGGUUGUAUGAAUCCUAAAAUGUCAUUGCGCACGGUUUUACGCUAAGUCUUCAGUUAGAUCCAAGUACUGGCUCAACAAAACUAUGAAAAUGAUUAACCCUUUACAAAUAUUUCAACUGAAUCAGUUGGAGUGAAGAAGAUUUUGCCAGCUUAUUUGGACUCAAAUCUGAAGAUUCAAGACCUACUUACUGGUGUAAGUUUUGCCUCAGGUGGCUCAGGAUAUGAUCCCCUCACUCCCAAAAUAGUGGUAAAUAAAUAUAACCCCAUUUUUUCUAUUUACUAUUUCAUCCUUUCUUUCUCUUAAUUUUGUUUCUAUCAGUCUGUCUUAUCUCUAUCGGAUCAACUGGAUUUGUUCAAAAAAUACAUAAGCAAGAUAAAUGCAGUCGUUGGGAAGGAGAGAACAGCGACUAUAGUAUCGAAAAUCAUUAUACAUUGUGUGCACAGGGAGUAACGACAUUCCGAAUACUUAUUUAUCUACACCACUAAGAAGAUCUCACUAUGACAUUCCAGCGUAUAUACCGAUCUCAUGGUUAAAUCGGCUUCAAGUUUCUUUCAGGUAAACAUUGAACAAUUGCAAUUCGUGAAUGUCAGCACUAGAAAAAUAAAUGGUUUGGUAGUCGUGCAUUACCACUUAUGUAGCCAUAAAGUACUAAAUUUCAGACCUAGCUAAACGUAGUCCAGUUUGUUAGAGCAAUGUGCUUCCCCCUUUUGCACCCAAGUUUGAAUCCCCGUCUCCGUAGUGUAGAUUAAACUAGAAUAUUGCUCAAACAAAAAUACAAAACUUUCAUCAGAACUAGCCACCUCAGAAGAGUAACAAUUGUCAAUAUGCCGCAUAUUUCGGUAUCCCAAGUUCCAUAGAUGAGCUCAUACAUGCGUAUCUUUUUCAUUCUUGAUUCUUGGGUGCCAAGUAAUUGGGAUUGUAUGAAUAAGCUGCUCUAAGUAGUAGCAUAGAUGGUUAAAGCGUGACACACUACGUCGUACUUUGCUAUUUUUUAAUGUGGGGAAAAAAUGGAACUGCAGGAACUAUAUGGACUCGGAGCAAGAAGAAUUGGAGUUGUAAGUCUGCCAGCCAUCGGGUGUGUACCGUCACAGAGAACACUGAGUGGAGGCUUAGACAGAGGGUGCUCGGAGACUGCCAACCAAGCAGCAAGUCUCUUCAACUCCAAGCUCUCCGCCCAAAUAGAUGCCUUCAAUAGGAGGCUGCCAGAAGCAAGGCUUGUCUACCUCGAUAUCUAUAACACAUUGCUUUCCCUCAUCCAAAACCCUACUCAAUAUGGUAAAUCACCAUCUUGGUUAAUUUCGGAAAUAGUAAUUUGCAAAAAUACGUCAAUUUCUCAUAUAUGAGUUACCAACAAUGUUCUCUUACCACGCAAAGAUUUAAGUUGUCAUACUAUGAAUCUAAGACCAAACAUUUUGAAUGUGAACCAAACAAGAACGAUAGUCUAAAAUUCACUUUUUACGUCAUCGUCAUAGUCUCGGGAAAAAAGAAAUUCCACAAUGCAUAUUGACCAUAUGGUUGGUACAAUGAUUUUCUAUAUGGUUUCAGGAUUUGAAGUGAUCAAUCGAGGAUGUUGUGGGACGGGAAACUUUGAGGUUAGCAUUCUGUGUACACGUUAUUCUCCGGGAACCUGCAAUGAUUCGUCGAAAUACAUAUUCUGGGACAGCUACCAUCCUUCAGAGAAAGGAUAUGAAGUCAUCACCUCUCUGGUUUUCGAUUCGCAAGUUCAUAAGUUCUUCUGAAGCCUCUCUCUCUCUCAAGUAUUGGCAAUCAAUAAAUUUCCAAGCCCGUUUUGAUGUAUUUCUCUUUCAGAAGUUUGAGCCUCAAAUUGUUAGAAAUUGAUGUCUGUCACCUUUUGACUCUUGUUACGCUUUUGUAUUUUUUGUUUUUUUAAAUGGACAACUAGUGGCUAAUAACGGUUAUCCAUUCUUUCUGGGUCCGGAGAGUUUAUGAGGAUUUCACCCCAUUGAAAAAUCAAUGUGACGUGAAAUUAACUAAUUAUACUUCAUCCUAAAUAAAGUAUAUACAUGAUGUCUUCAUAUCGGUUGUUUUAGAUAGAAAUGAUGAAAAUUUGCUCAAAAACGUGAAAAUUUAGAAUGAAACAUUGGGGAUGUCAAACACUGAUUUAAACGAAAUAUGAAAGUUUCUCCAACGUUUAACUGAUAUAUCAAAAAUAUAGAAGAAAUAUGUCAAUUUUAACCAAAAUUUAAGCGUUUUUCCAACACGGGUGAAGUCUAAACCAAAUGCCAUAAUACAAUUUUUUCAAGCUUUCAGCCAAUUGUAUUAUGACACUUAUUGUACCGGGCCAUAAACCAAGCUAGAGGUGGCAUAUCAAUCCAUUGUGUUAUUAAUGCAUAUCCAUCAAGACUCAUUUAGUUUAUUUCACCUUACACCUUUAUCAUCACCAGUGAAGAAAAUAUCGAUAAUAUCGGCGAAAUAUCGCCGAUAUUAUCGUUUUUUUGGGACCCCGAUAUUUUAUUAACUAUCCAACUUGUUUUCGGCAGAAUAUCGCGAUAUUAUCGAUAAUAUCGCGAUAUUUUCGAAACUAUCACGAUAUUUGGUAUGGACUCAUCGGAGAACACAGCCGGAGCAAAUAAUCCGAACCCCUAAAUCCCCAAAUUCUAAUUCAAAACAAAUGAACUGAAUCUACAAUACAGGAUUCCCUAAAAUCGAUUUCAGUACAAAAAUCAACAUGCAGAAAAAUCGCAAUCUGUACAAAAAUUGUAAUUUACAAGCCGAGAAGAACGAUUUCAGUACAAAAAUCAAAGCAAAUGAACCGAAUUCAUAAAUCCCCAAAUUCAAAUUCAAAGCAAAUGAACUGAAUCCCUAAUUCCUAAAUCCCUAAAAUCGAUUUCAGUACAAAAAUCAAGCAACAUGCAGAAAAAUCGCAAUCUGUACAAAAAUAGAAACCCUAAUUCCUAAAUCCCUAAAAUCAAUUUCAGUACAACAAAGGUGCAACAUGCAGAAAAAUUGAAAUCUGUACAAAAAUUUAAAGUAAAAGCCGAGAAGAAGAGAAGUAGGAGCCUGGGAACAUCGUCUUCCUCACGAAUCCAAGACGGCUGGGACAACGUCGUGCUCCUCAGUGGUGUCGACGGCUGGGACUACGAUGAUUUCCGGUCGAUCUCCAUGGAUCAAGGUGGUUUAGAAGGCGGUUAUCGAGUGGUGUCGACGGCUGGGUUUAGGGCGGGUGAGAUGGGAGAAGCAGAGGGAGACAGGGAGACACGGAGACACGGACGAGGAGGAUCGAGAUUCGAGAGAUGAUGUCUCUGUGUGUGUGUGGAAGAACUGGAGAAGGGGGAAGGGAGGGAGAAGACUGAGAAGUUCUCAGUGAGAACGAAGGCUCAGACCUCAAAGAGAGAGAAGAGAGAAGAGAGAGAUUGAGAGGAUUCGAGAAUAUGGUAGUGGGAAAUGAAUGAUCGAGAGAGAGACUGAGCUCCGUGUGUGGUGUACGUGUGUGGAGUGCGUGUGUGGUGUGGUGUGGGGGGUCUCGAAGUGUGUGUGUGGUGGAGUGUGAGUUCUUCAGUCUUUUUGACUGUCUGAGUGGUGGCGUGUAAGAAAAAAAAAAGCAUCCAAUGCUCCAAAUUAUUCAAAACCAAAUCAUUCCAAACCUAUGUCUAGCUCUCUGAUCCAAUGAUCCAAAGAACUUUUUGCAAUUUCAGAACAUGGACAACAAAUAAUACUGCUUUCAUAAUGAAAUCGUGUGACAGUCAGUAAGAGUCUUUCACAUGCAAAACAGUGUCAAUGUCUGUUAUAUACUUACAUUCUUUCAUCCAGUGGAGUAUCAGAGGCAUUCACAGAAUUUUCGUUUCUUCUUCUUCCCAUACCAUUUUCAAAACCAUUCCAGAUCCUUUCCAAAGCCAAGCAACACAAAGGCUUCCAUAUUUAAGGUAAGUUUACAAACUUAAAUUUAUAUUAUUGUAAUUUAUACAACAACAAAUAAAUUUGUGUGGACUCGUAUGUUAAUUUUUUUAAGUAAUUAAUACUUGCAUGUUAAUUUUUGUAAGUAAUUAAGUAAUGUUAACAAUUACAUGUUAAUUUUUUUAAGUAAUUAAGUAAUGUUGUAUAAUUAUUCCCUAGGAUAAUUUUAAUAUGUUUAAUGUUAUUUAUUAUUUUAUUUUCCUUACCAUUUUCAAAGUCAUUCCAGAUCCAUUCCAAAGCUUGAACACAAAGGCUUCCAUAUUUAAGGUAAGUUUACAAACUUAAAUUUAUAUUAUUGUAAUUUAUACAACAACAAAUAAAUUUGUGUGGACUCGUAUGUUAAUCUUUUUAAGUAAUUAAUACUUGCAUGUUAAUUUUUGUAAGUAAUUAAGUAAUGUUAAUGUUAAUUGUUUUAAGUAAUUAAGUAAUGUUGUAUAAUUAUUCCCUAGGAUAAUUUUAACAUGUUUAAUAUUAUUUAUUAUUUUAUUUCCCUUACCAUCUUCAUUAUCAAAUUGGAUUAUUAUUCAUUAAUAUUAGGUUUUUUUAUUAUCAAAUUGGAUUAUUAUUCUUUAAUAUUAGAUUUUUUUAUUAUCAAAUUGGAUUAUUAUUCAUUAAUAUUAGGUUUUUUUAUUAUCAAAUUGGAUUAUUAUUCUUUUAUAUUAGGAAAUUUUUUUAUCAAAUUGGUGGAUUAUUCAUUAAAUUGGAUUAUUAUUAUCAAAUUGGAUUAUUAUUCAUCACCAUGUUUUAUAUUAGGAUUAUUUUUUUUUCAAAUUGGUGGAUUAUUCAUUAAAUUGGAUUAUUAUCAAAUUGGAUUAUUAUUAUCAAAUUGGAUUAUUAUUCAUCACAAUGUUUUAUAUUAGGAUUAUUUUUUUUAUCAAAGUUGGUGGAUUAUUCAUUAAAUUGGAUUAUUAUCAAAUUGGAUCAUUAUUCAUUGGAUAUAUUCAUCACCAUUGUUUAUAUUAGGAUUAUUUUUUUAUCAAAUUGGUGGAUUAUUCAUUAAAUUGGAUUAUUAUCAAAUUGGAUUAUUAUUCAUCACCAUGUUUUAUUUUAGGAUUAUUUUUUUUAUCAAAUUGGUGGAUUAUUCAUUAUAUUGGAUUAUUAUCAAAUUGGAUUAUUAUUCAUCACCAUGUUUUAUAUUAGGAUUAUUUUUUUUAUCAAAUUGGUGGAUUAUUCAUUAAAUUGGAUUAUUAUCAAAUUGGAUUAUUUAUUAAUCAAAUUGGAUUAUUAUUCAUCACCAUGUUUUAUAUUAGGAUUAUUUUUUUUAUCAAAUUGGUGGAUUAUUCAUUAAAAUUGGAUUAUUAUCAAAUUGGAUUAUUAUUCAUCACCAUGUUUUAUUUUAGGAUUAUUUUUUUUUUAUCAAAUUGGUGGAUUAUUUCAUUAUAUUGGAUUAUUAUCAAAUUGGAUUAUUAUUAUCAAAUUGGAUUAUUAUUAUCAUCACCAUGUUUUAUAUUAGGAUUAUUUUUUUAUCAAAUUGGUGGAUUAUUCAUUAAAUUGGAUUAUUAUCAAAUUGGAUUAUUAUUAUCAUCACCAUGUUUUAUAUUAGGAUUAUUUUUUUAUCAAAUUGGUGGAUUAUUCAUUAAAUUGGAUUAUUAUCAAAUUGGAUUAUUAUUCAUUAAAUUGGAUUAUUAUUCAUCACCAUGUUUUAUAUUAGGAUUUUUUUUUUAUCAAAUUGGAUUAUUAUUCAUUAAAUUGAAUUAUUAUCAAAUUGGAUUAUUAUUCAUUAAUAUUAGGUUUUAUUAUUCCAUAUUAUUUGUAUAAUUACUUAAAUUUUUACAAUCAUUUUCUUUACUUUGUAUUUAAUUCUUCUGUAGAAUAACUUUAUUAUUUAGGUUCUCUUAUUUUUAUCAAAAAAUAAUUGUCUAAUUUUCAUGAAAAAUAAAUAUAGGUACGUUUAAGAUGUCCAGUAAACGUGAUCCAGCUUGGGAACAUGGAGACCCAAUAGACGGAAACAAACAUGGCACAAUUUGCAAAUAUUGUGGUCGGGUAAUGAAGAGUGGCGGAGUGACACGACUGAAGUAUCAUCUUAGUGGAUUAGAUCCAUCAAAAUAUGUCCAACGAUGCGAUAAUGUCCCCCCAGAAGUGAAGGCAUUCAUCAGCACAUUAUUAAAAAAUAAAAAACAGCAGAAGUAAAAGAUAACACAGGGAAUGGAAAAUAUUCAAGCUGGGCUACGGGGAGAAGUCUAUGGCCAAGCGGUUGACAGUGAUGAUGAUGACGAUGAGGACGAAUGUGAUGAUGACAUGGGACCUGAAGAACGACGCAGUUGAAACAAGCAUUACGUGCCUUCAAACAGUCAGCAUGGGAAAGAGAACACCUUCAUAAAAUUCCUAAUAGGGGACAAGGUUCCAGGACAAGUGGUGGUGCACAAAUGAGACGGGGAGGCAGUCUUAGAGAAUCACAACCAACACCACCAAUAGCCCCAAGUUUAUAUAAGUCAUCCAACGCACGUCAAAAGAGUGUUUGGAGUUAUUUCAAGGGAGGUAAUGUGAAGGAGGGAAUGAGGCGUCUAAUUAGCAAGUUCUUUAUCUAUGAAAAUGUCCCUGCUGCGAAGGCAUCAUCACAUCAUUUCAAAAAUAUGGUAGUGGGAUGUCAACAGGCCGGUGUUGGAGUACAACCUCCCACUCCCUAUGAGAUAAGAAACAAAUAUUUGGAUAUGGAGUAUAAAGACAUUGGCGAGUAUGUUAACAAGUUGAGGUCAAAGUGGGAAACUAAUGGUUGCACAAUCAUGUGUGUGACAGAUGGACCGGCCCGACCAGAUUAUCUAUCAUCAACUUCAUGGUAUACUCCAAGGGAAAGACAAUUUUUUUGAAGUCUGUUGAUGCUUCAGACCAUAUAAAGAAUUACAAGUAUAUUUACAAAUUAUUGAGGGAUGUAAUCAUGGAGGUGGGAGAGCAUAAUGUUGUCCAAGUCGUGACCGACAACGGUUCUGCAUUUGUCAAAGCUGGAAAAAAGUUAAUGAAGCAUCAUAAUGUGUUUUGGACAUCAUGUGCAGCACAUUGUAUUGAUCUUAUGUUUGAGGCAAUGGGGAAGAGAGAGAAUGUUGCUACUGUGGUCAAAAGAGCUAGAACGAUCACAAAUUAUAUUUACAAUCACGGUUGGUUGUUGGCAAAGAUGAGUGAAUUUUGCAGAGGAGAAAUUAUUCGUCCAGCUACCACUCGAUUCGCCACCAACUAUAUUGCAUUAAACAGCCUACUCAAGAAGAAAGCAGGGUUGAAGCAACUAUUCACUAGUGACGAUUGGGCCAACCACAAUUUCAGCCGCUCAAAUACAGGUCGUAUGGUGGAAAGUAUAGUGCUUGAUCAUGCUUUUUGGAGUCAAACAGAACAUGUGUGUCAAGUGUUUGAACCUCUUUACAAAGUUUUACGGAUCGUUGACACAGAAGUGUAUCCUACUAUGGGGGCAGUAUAUGAGUUGAUGCGUGUAGUGAAGGAUGAAUUGGAAAGAAAACAUGGUGCAAGGUGGGUCGUAAAAAUAAUUGAAGACCGAUGGUAUAAAAACAUUAUACCACGAUUUGCAUGCAGCAGCAGGUAUAAAUUAUGUCAUAAUUUGCAAUUCAUUUCUUUAGUUGCAUAAGUAUUAUUUAUCUUAUUAGAGUAUGUGUUUCUUUGAACAGCAUAUUAUUUGAAUCCCCGAUACCAAUACAGACCCGGUGUUGGAGAUGAUGGUAACCUUAUACGUGCUGUACAUAAUGUAUACUCUAAAUUAGACCAUGCAUUACCAGCAGUUGGCCAAUUUGGAAAUGAGGUACACAAUUACUUAAAUUAUAAUAAUUACUUUGUUGGAUUAAACUAACACAAUUUAUUGUAUUCAGCUAACAUUGUUUAAAGAUGCAAGAAGAAUAUUUGGAGAACCAACAUCAGUUGCUGCUCGAACAAAUAUGUCUCCUAGUGAGUAUAAACAUAUUUCACUAUAAGUUUAUAAUAGAAUUUGUUGGAGUUAUUAGGCUUAUCAACAUUAUUUUUCAUUGUAGCUGAAUGGUGGAUCAUGUAUGGGACCGAUGCACCAACUGUGAGAAAGUUAGCAAUAAAAGUAUUAUCACAAACAGCUUCCUCAUCUGCUUGUGAAAGAAAUUGGAGCACAUUUGCACUCAUACACACAAAGCAAAGAAAUAAGUUGGCUCAUAGUAGCUUGGAAAAAUUAGUUUAUUGCUACUACAACAUGAAGCUUCAAAUUCGAGAUAAGGAAGCAGAAAUCGAUCAUGUCGACCGUGGUGACCCACUAGAUGUGUUUGAUAUUGUUGGUGAAGAUGAUGAUACGGAGGGUAACCAACUUUUUCAAUGGAUUAGACCUCUUCAUUUAGAUGAUGAUGAAGGCAACCCAGCUCCCAGAGUUGCUGAAGAAGCACGUAAUGAAGGGAUAAAUGUAGAAAGAGUAUUAGAGGAGGAGGUGGGAUCUAGCAGCGCUGACUCUUUCGAAGAACUUUUGCACCCAAGACCAAGCAACACUGGAAUUCCACCUUUUUCCAAUCCUACACAACCACAACAUCGUGCUGAUACUAAUGAUAGCUCUAGUACAAGAUCAGGAAACUCACCUACCACCGGAGGUGGGAAUGAUGAAGGACAUAGUGGAGCUGGAGGUAGUGGUGGUGGAUAUGGAAACUAUUAUGGACCACCACCUCCCGGAUAUAUGAGCCCCUUCACUGGUGAGGCAAACUUCACGCAUGCAACACAGGAUGAUGACCAUGGCAGUAGGCGGGCAGGACCAGGAAUUGGUGCCAUAGGGAAGGACUAUACUCGCAGAGAAAGAGGCAAAGGGAUUUUGUCAAGUCAAGAAGAUGACUCGUUAUCUAGAACUUCAGACUCUGUUGGAUUGGGAAGUAGUAACUAUGGUUAUACUCAUAACCAACCAUUUCCCUACCCUUCAUAUCUCAUUCCUGUUGGGAUGAAAUCGAGCGACUCAUGGAAACAAUCCCAGCCUCAAUCUUCAAAUGAUUUUUCUUAUGGACAACCUCAACCAAUCUCGGAUCCAUAUGGGUGGCAUAUUAACAAUUACAUGCAAAACUAUUUUGGGGAUUUAUCAUUUGAUAACUACUCUUCACAAUACACUCAUUCUACACAUAGAGAUGAUGAAGAUAGUGACAAAUUUGAACCUCAUAGGAACUCUAUGUGGUACUAAAGUGUAAAAUAUUGUACUAAUUCAUUAUAUAUAAAUGAUUAUGGUGUGUUUAGACUUCUUUCAUUAAUUACUACAUAUUUUCUACACUCAUAAUGUUUGUCAGAUCGCUAUAUAAUCAACUUGAUAAUGUUAAAUCCAUCAUGCAAUGCAUUUCCUUCCAAUUUUUUGUGAUAAACUAAUAGAUAAUUGACUAAAUAAACAUCCUACAAAGUUUCAAUAAAAAUUUCCAAGUUUUUCUUACAAUUUCCGUAGUUUCCAUGUAAUUUUUAUCGAUAUCGAUAUUUUACCGAUAUUUCCAUCGAUAUUUCCGUGUUUUCGGACUACCGAUAUUUCCGAUAUCACCGAUAUUUUCUUCCUUGAUCAUCACUACCAAUCUCAUCUCGAUAUUAUACUGAUAUCAAAUCAACUGGGUUUUAAUGUGUACACUAACAACCAAUGGGUUGAUUUAUCACCUUUAUUCCCAACACAAUGAAAAUUUUCUUGUGUCCGUGAUGGCUUUAUAUUAGUCGUGACUUCUUUUUUAGCUUGAUAACCAUGUCCAAGUUGAGAACAUUGUCCAAAGUUUACAAGGCGUUACUAAAUUUUACCCUUUAAUUUUUGGCUUAUUAGUCGAAAUGCCCCAUGAAGCUGUCAUUGAGUCUCAUUUUACCCCCAUGAAACUAGUUUUAUCUCACUUUGCUCCUUGAAACUGACAUUUUCAACUCUUAUCUUACUUUACCCACUUCCGUCAAUGGAUUGUUACAUUUAAGGGUAUUUUAAACAUUUCAGUUUUUGCACAUUUAUUUACCUCUAACCCACACUAAACAAGUCUCAACUUUAUUUUUGACAACUCUGAUUCAAAUGCAUAAAUUUUGGACAUUUUAAAAAUAAAUUAUUCAAUCAAUAAAAAAAAUUCAAGCAACAAAAUCAUUGUAUCAACCAAAAUAAAUGUUACAUUUGUUCGUGGAGUCAUUUCACUUGCAAGACAUUCAUGUAUUGGCUCGAAACUUUGCAAUUGAAAAACAUUCAUUACAAUAAAAUCAUUAUACCAUUACGCUAUCCUAUCCAAAUUAAAUACUUCCCAAACCAAAAAAAACAUUUAAAGCAAAUGUGCACAAUUUGAACAAGCUCAUGCCUAGUGAAAUCAGUGCUCAAGAAUGUGAAAUUUUUUGUUUCAAACUGCACAUUUGCUUUAAAUGAUUUUUUUUUUUGUUCGGGAAGUAUUUUGGGCAGGAUAGCUUCAUGGUAUAAUGAUUUUGUUGUAAUGAAUGUUUUCAAUUGCAAAGUUUCGAACCAAUACAUGGAUGUCUUGCAAGUGAAAAGACUCUACGAACAAAUGUAAACCUUACUUUGGUUGAUACAAUGAUUUUGUUGCUUGAAAUUUUUCUAUUGAUUGAAUAAUUUAUUUUCAAAAAUACCCAAAAUUGAUGCAUUUGAAUUAGAUUUGUUAAAAAUAAAAUUGAGACUUGUCUUGUGAAAUCUCAUCCUGGAAUUUCACCAUUUAUUACGUAUCUCGUAUUUUAAAUUCAUAUUUUGCGAUUACGUUAUCUUUAUUAGUUAAUUUUAAUUCUGCUAAUUAUAAGUUUAGUAAUUGAUUAGUUAUCAAGUUGAAAGUUUCAUAAUCAAUCUUUAUCUUUCGUUGACAUUUCGAAGUUACAACUAGUGUUUUUAAAUAGAUCUUGAACCCAUGAACGCAUAGGCGAAAGCCGUUUGCGAGUCCGAAUUAUAACGGUAUAAUUACUGACGUUUGAAAUUGUGAACUAUAGAUUGUGGGAAUUGACACGCCCUGAUCCCGAUGUCCUCGGGACAUUGGGAUGGUCACGUGCUAGCCGACACCCAAAGGGUGACGAAAGCCAUUUGAUUUAAGCAAAAGCUGAGAAAUAUACUAAAACAGGCAAUCGGGACUAAUAACACCAAAGUAAAGUUCAACUACUAAAAUAAUAAAAUUAUGGUCAUACACAUAAGUUCAGAGCAUACGUCUAUUACAGAGUACAAACAGAAUUUAAGAUAGAGAAGUGCUAUAUUACAAUAGGUGUCGAAGCAAAAAAGAUAUAACACUAAACCACUGGUAGGGAAAUGCCUCGUAGCUCAGAUCAUAAUCCUCGUUCAUAGGUCCUGAAGGAGGCGCAAAACAAACUGAGUGGACCAAUUUGAUAUAAAUAUAAUAAAACAGUUAUCAACAUACUAACCUCAGGUUUAUGAAAACACAUAAAUAAUGAAAAACAUAGGUUUUCCGAAACCUAGAAUGCCGUGCAAUGUCUCAAAUUCAUAACUUGUAUAUAUAAUAAACACUAGUGAUUUGUCCGAUAACCCCAAGCCCCAUGCCGACUCCUCGUCUCUGAGCAGACAGUCAGAGGAAAAUACACUUCAGGCCUCAUGCUGGCUCCUCAUCCAUGUGCUAAAUAGCCAGAGGAAAUACACUCCAGGCCCUAUGCCAACACCAAACCGUCGCCCGGGACGGGCCCGAAACUAUCCCUACAUCCCGUAGCGGAAAUGACCACUAGGUAAGUACAAAACCACUGAACAUAUAAAUAUUGAAAAACAACUUCAUAGUAUAAAGUCAUCUAUCAUCUAUACUAUAAAGAGGUGUUCUAAACAUAUUCUAAAUAUCAUAUCAUCAUCCAUCAGAUAUUCUAUAAAAACAUGGGUUAUAUGAAAAAUAGUUGUAAUUCAAUCUAACCUUCGUAAGCAUGUUAUCUCACAAAACAUUUUAUAAAACAUAAUCAUUAAGUCAUGCUUUUCAUGUAUGAAUUUCUACUAUUAAAACAUGUUUUUGAAGGGGUCCACUCACCAUACACCAAUAGUGCAAAGCUGUACCAAAAAGGAAUAACGGAAUCACCGUUAAUAAUUGCACAUAUUCACAUAAAGGAGUACCUUUAGUCAAACUAUAUUCAAACGAUUGAAUUUAAAAAAACGGACUUCAAAAUGGGUCCAGGAUGUCAAAAUUAGGCUAGAAUAGGUCCUAGACGAAACUCUGAAAAGUUAACUCAAAAAUUCAACAUUGACCAUUGACCGAUCAAAGUCAAAGUCAGCACUGAGUCAAAUGGGUCAAAGGUCAGACUGGGCUUGGAUUUGGAUUUAGGGCUUUAGGGUUGGGCCGAUUGGGCCCUAAGGGUUUGGGUUUAGAUUUAAGGUUAAUGGGUUUGGAAAAAGGGCUGAAAGCCCAGGCUUUAAUUGGCCCAAAGGCCUUGAAUAUAGGGGUCUUAAACACACGGGCCUAAAGACCUAAUUAAAAUGGCCCAAGAGCCUUAAUUCUUAAAACUAUAAAUAAAUAAAACCUAAAAAAAGUUUUGGGUUGGUCUAAUGGGCUACAGGCCCUAAACAAAACGGCCCGAUAACCUUUUUGGGUUAUUAAAACAAUUUAAAUAAAAUUAAAAAGGAAAUGGGUUAGGGUUUUGGGCUGAGCUCACCACGGGCCUAAGGCUCGAGUGCCUUAGAAUCGGCCUGAAAGGCCUGGGUGUACCAGAGAAGAACGUCGGAGCUUCUACAGCUCCGGCCGACUGCAAACUACAACCCUAGCCUCCGAUCUAGGUACCAAAACGAAGCACAAGAUGAGACGAACAACUUUAUACCUUCCUUUUUGUCGUAGAAUGGCCGAAGAUGCACCGAAAUUCCCUCGACACCCACUAGUUCGCCGAAGAUGGGUGUGCCUUCACCCGAGUCGAUCUCGUCCUAAGACCUUGAUAAAAACAAAAUAAAACUCAUUAAAUUCCUUCCAAGCUUCACACGGAACGAAAAGGAAGUCAAAUCCGAACUUACCUCACCGGAAAAACAAAGGAAACUCGCCGGAGAGUUCAUGGGUUUCGUCCUCGCAGCACAGGAAAAAGAGAGAAUGAAGGACGAAGGAAUGAUGAUGGUGGUCUUCCUCGCAGGUGAUGCAGUUGGGGGGGGUAUGUGUGUGUGUGUGUGUCUCGGUGAAGAGAGAGAGAGAGAGAUGAGGGUAUUAAGAGGGAAAUGAAGGAAAGACAGAAAGAAGAAGAGGGUGAAGUCACGGGGGGGGGACAGAGAGAGAAAUGUGAGGAUGUUUGGGGUACUGCCACGUGGCAGCUUGAGGAUAAACUUGAUUGGGUAGUAACUUUAGGACUAAAUUGAUAAAUUCAUAAUAUUUUGGGGAUAAUUACAUAAUUAUAUUUUUAUAAAUGUGGGUGGGUGUAAUAGGAAUUGUUUAAUUUCCACAUGUGGGCUAAAGGUUAAGUUAGUCUAAUAAAAAGGGGGACCAAUCAGAUUUUUUUAAGGGUAGAAAUGACCAAUUAAAGGGAGAGAAGCUGAAAUUCUCCCUCCCCCAUUUGUGAACCCGUGUGCUCCACCAGCCCACUUUCAAACUGGCCAAUUUCAGAUCAAUUCCUCCAUUUCUCAGCUGAUUUUCCUAUCUCCUUCACCUGCAACUUGCUCAACUAUCUUCUUCCUUCCAUCUCCACCAAAAAUAAAGGAUUUUCAAGGUCUAAUUUGGGUAUAACUCCACCGGAUAACCCAGGGGUUUUCGAUGGCGAUUCGUCGUUCUGGUGAGUAUCACCAUUCAUCAUCACCCUUAAUCAACUUCCCUUGGACCCAGGAACAAGACCAAAUUGGUGGUUGGAGCGUAGGAACACCAAGGAAGCCAAAUUGAAGAACACCCACCUUAGAGUUUCGAAGGGUGCGAGCCAAUUUGAGGGCCUUCUCGACCAAAUUGGACUCUUCCAUAGGUAUAAAGUUUACUCUACUUGUUGAGAUCUUCAUCCUUGUAAAAAUUGAGAAUUUUUUGGAAAAGUCGAAUUUUUCGAUAUGUGACAUUUGAUUUAUGAAAUGAUGUUGGUUGAGUAUAUUUUCGAUAAGGUCCGCCACUUGAAUAUUCUAACAAUUGACGAUCUUACCAUUGAAUUGACACCAAAUUUUAGUAUGCUAUUGAAGAUAUUGUUAAGGACCUUAGGGACUUACUAGUGAAAAUCUAAUGGUUGGAUAUUACGGAGCAAGUGAUGUAAGAUCAUGGACCAUACCUUUGAUCGACGGUUUGAUUUUCAUUAAACGUCGUUGUGGGAGAGUUAUGAGAGUUUUGGGUAUGUGAAUUUAUCGAGAGAAACCUAAAUGUGGACUUGUGCUUUGUUUUAGGCGGUGAUAGAGCUUGAUGCCUUGAAUUUCAUGCUAGAGUGCGUUAAUGUAGACCUCAGGUGAGUGAUUUUAAUCUAUGUGAUAUAGUUAUUGCUUUGAAAUCUUCGGUGCUAAUAUACUUUGUGGUUACACCAUGGAUUCUUAAAAUAGGUCUUAUGCUAAAUAAUUGUUGUUAUAAAGUUGCCAUCACUCUACUUAUGAAACAUUAUGUGACUUGGAUAUUUGAACUGUUGAUGGUUUGUGUUUUGAAAUAUAUAUUUGAUGGUUUGAUAAACAUGAGGGAUUGUAAGGGACCGUUACCCUAGUGUCAUGGGGUUAGGUGACACUAAGUCUGCACCACGUAGCAAUGGUACAUGGAUGGUCCUGCUUGGUUAAUCCGCGUUAAGGGACCAUACUAAUUGUGGAUCACGCUUGGUUAAUCUACGUUGGACGAUCCUUAUAUCCUAGGUAUGGCCAUACACAUUUAGGGGUGAUCAUGCUUGGUUAAUCCGCAUUGGGUGAUCAUUUCCUAAUAGUUGUAGGAGUGGCUUUGCUUGGUUAAUCCGCAUUGAGGGAUCAUUACCUACUUGGUUACGUUCUCAAUGGUGGCUCUGCUUGGUUAAUCCGCUUUGGGGGGCCACUUCCUAUUUGGUUACUUGGGUAGGCUUCGACUGAGCGACAUCUCUCUAGCUCUAGUUUUGAGUGUAUCCGUGAAUUUUGGUUUCGAGAACUUUGAGUUUUGAUUUAGAAUAGCCGUUGGAUGUCUGUGUGACUCAUUUGGAGUUUGCAAGGUUUGGUAUUGAUUUCUUAUGAAUGAUUUAUGUUCAAGAUUUAUAAAUUAUGACUGAUGGCUGGUUUUAUUAUUAGUAUCAUAUACUUUGCAUUAUUGCCGCUCACACAAGUUUUGUAGCUUAUCUGGGUUGUUUACCCAGUGCACCAUUCCAAUGGUGUAGGCACUGAUCUUUCAGGUAACAAGUCUGAGUAGCUUCGAGGAGUUCGUAGGUGGGGUAGCAGUUCAGUUAUCAGAGAUUUGGAGUGUUAGGUUACCCCUACAUCAUAUCUUGUACUUUAUCUUUUAGGACUUACUUUUGAGCACGUCGAACUUGUUCUUAGUAAAGCAAAGAUUAUGCUUCUUUUUAGGAUGUACAUAUUUGUAAAUGUCUUGUGAAGAACUUAACCACCUUCUUUUUAGUUUGGGUUGUAGCUAAAGUAUUUCAUUCCGUAUGGUAUGUCAUAUUCAACGAACGUUAUUUUUCCUUUGCCACGUGUUGAUUUUCGACGUAUGUUGGGAUCGGAGCGUGACAUGUCUAGUGGAAGGGCUAGAGGUAAAUAAAUGUGUAAAAUUGAAAUGUCUAAAAUACCCUUAAAUUUAACAGUCCAUUAACGAAAGUGUGUAAAGUAAGACAAAAGAGUUGAAAAUGUUAGUUUCAAUGGGCAAAGUGAGACAAAACCAGUUUCAAGGGGUAAACUGAGACUCAAUGGCAAUUUUAGAAAACAUUUCGACUACUAAGCCUUAAUUUUUUUAUUUAUUUUUCCCUAAAAAAAUUAAAAAGAAAAUAGUUUUUACAUGGGCCACACCAUUGGUCAAAAAAUCCAAUCCAAAACAAGCUCUUAGCCCAAGCCAUUCAUACAAUUCAAUCCAACGCCAUAGCUUUUCCGCCAUGGCUGCAGACCUCUCUGCUCAAACCUUCCUCCUAUCCACAACCACCACCACCCCCCAACGCUCCCACCCCAGAACUACCACCUCCUUCUUGCCUUCCUCCUCUCUCUACUCUCACUCCAAAACCCUCCUCCACCUCUCCAAAACCUCCCGCCCUCGCCGCCACAGCCUCCACCAAGUGAUCUGCCAGUCCACCGGCACCCAACCCAUUUCCCAGCUCGGCCAUGAUCGCCUCUCCAAGGUCCCCAUUUCCCACAUCAGGAACUUCUGUAUCAUCGCCCACAU
rnacentral:lncRNA from 1 species